GGGCUCUUAGCUCAACGGUAGAGCGUCCGCUUUGCAGGCGGAAGGCUGCGGGUCCGAAUCCCGCAGAGUCCA
rnacentral:tRNA from 1 species